GCUAAAAAAAUUCCACCCAAAAUUCAUGCCCAAAUCUCUCUCUCUCUCUCUCUCUCUCUCUCUCAAAUUUCCUCCAUUUUCCCUCUCUUCCAUCAAUCUCUAACAUCCUGAUCCUCCUCGGCCUCACACACCCCCAAAUCAACUCAUCUCAAACCCCAAUUCAAGCAAGACCCCUGUCCCAGAGAACGCAAAAUCCAGCCCUAGGAGAAUCUCCGGCAAUUCCAUCUGAAUCUCCAACCAUUCCACCAAAUUUGACUUUGAUCUUUGGAGAAGACUGCGAGACUGCGGAAGUUUCCAAAGCUCGAACCAAAGACAUUGUUGUUGCAACUGUCCGUGGAUUUAAUGGCAAACCAAUCUCAGUUUUGGACGGAGUUCCAAUUGCUAUCAAGGAUGAGAUAGAUUGCAUGCCCUAUCCAACUACAGGUGAUCUCAUUUUUGAGUCGAGUUUUAAAACUAUGUUUUUAAAUAUUUUAGGGCUUUUAUGAGGCAUGGCAUCAAGUUUGAGCUAGUUUACUAUGGAGGCUAUUGUUUCUUUUGGAACUUAGAAAUAGGUGGUGAACUAUCAUUGUAGUAUAGUCUACUAAAAGGUGGAAACCAACUGGUGCAAAAUCAGUUCUAGAAUUCUGCUGGUUUAAAGGUAUUUCUCUUGAUUGGGGUUUAAGCCUCAGAAAAAUUAACUCCUGGUGGCACGUGUUUUGUUUAAUGGUAUUUCUCUUGAUUUAAUGGUCUCAUGCAACUAGCUUUCAACAGUAAG